rnacentral:rRNA from 1 species
CCAGAGCUAAUACAUGCAAAAGGCCUCCACUUCGGCGGGGCGAUGAAUUUAUUAGAUUAAAAACCAAUGCCGCGCUUCGGCGCGGGAUCUCUGGCGAAUCAUAAUAACUAGUCGAAUCGCCCGCCUUAGUGGGCGAUGAUUCAUACAAGUUUCUGCCCUAUCAACUUUCGAUGGUAGUGUAUUGGACUACCAUGGUGAUAACGGGUGACAGGGAAUUAGGGUUCGAUUCUGGAGAGGCAGCCUGAGAGACGGCUACCACUUCCAAGGAAGGCAGCAGGCGCGCAACUUACCCAAUCCCGACACGGGUAGGUAGUGACAAGAAAUAACAGUAUAGGAUCCUUAACGGAUACUAUAAUUGCAAUGAGAACAAUUCAAAAACCUUAACGAUAAACAUUUGGAGGGCAAGUCUGGUGCCAGCAGCCGCGGUAAUUCCAGCUCCAAUAGCGUAUAUUAAUGUUGUUGCAGUUAAAAGGCUCGUAGUUGGAUUUCGGAGAGCACUAGCGUCGCGGUCCAGCGCAAUGCCGUGUUUACCGCACCUAGGCCUCCUCCUUUCAAACGCGAGCCCCAUUCCUUAAUUGGUUUGGGUGUUUUCUCGCUUUGGAACGUUUACUUUGAAAAAAUUAGAGUGUUUAAAGCAGGCGUAAACCUAGCCUUUGAAUACAUUAGCAUGGGAUAAUGGAAUAGGAUUGUGGUACCUAUUUUCCGUUGGUUUCUAGUGUCUACAAUAAUGAUUAAAAGGGACAGUCGGGGGUAUUAGUAUUUAGUUGUCAGAGGUGAAAUUCUAAGAUUUACUAAGGACUGACUACUGCGAAAGCAUUUACCAAGGAUGUUUUCAUUAAUCAAGAACGAAAGUUGGGGGAUCGAAGACGAUUAGAUACCGUCGUAGUCCUAACCUUAAACGAUGCCGACCAGGAAUUCGGAAAAGUUACAUGGAUGACUUUCCGGGCGCCUUGUGAGAAAUCACAAGUAUUCGGGCUCCGGGGGGAGUAUGGUCGCAAGGCUGAAACUUAAAGGAAUUGACGGAAGGGCACCACCAGGCGUGGAACCUGCGGCUUAAUUUGACCCAACACGGGAAAACUUACCAGGACAAGACACGGGAAUGAUUGACAGAUUAAAAGCUCUUUCAUGAUUCCGUGGGUGGUGGUGCAUGGCCGUUUCCAGUUGGUGGAGUGAUUUGUCAGGUUAAUUCCGAUAACGAACGAGACCUUAGCCUGCUAAAUAGUAGUGCCAAAUGCGUGGCCUUCGGGCUUUGCCUUGGCAUAUACUUCUUAGAGGGACCGCGAGAUCAAAGCUCGCGGAAGCUUGAGGCCAAAACAGGCCUGUGAUGCCCCUAGAUGCCCUGGGCUGCACGCGCGUUACACUGAUGCAUUCAACGAGUUUUUAUCCUUGCCCGAAAGGGCCGGGUAAUCUUAUGAAAGUGCAUCGUGCUUGGGAUAGACGAUUGCAAUUAUUCGUCUUGAACGAGGAAUGCCUAGUAAUCGCAAGUCAUCAACUUGCGCUGAUUACGUCCCUGCCCUUUGUACACACCGCCCGUCGCUCCUACCGAUUGAAUGGUCCGGCAAGAGCUUCGGAUAGUCGGGUGGCGGCCCUGCCCACCGGCGGGGACGCCCCUGCGCUAAAAGUUGUUCAAGCCUUAUCAUUUAGAGGAAGGAGAAGUCGUAACAAGGUU